CGCGCCGCUAGCCCCAUGCCGCCAGUCGGGACACCGGCGUUCGCGUAGCAGCAGUGUAGCAGCACGCAGAGGACGACGAGGACGCCGACAUCGAAGUGAAGCCAGUGUGUUUUGCCGCCCCAGGUCCGCCAACAGCACCGCCAUGGCCGACCAGCUCAAGGACCGCCUCGCCCACGUGAGCCUGGACCACGCCGACAGCUCCAACCGCGCCUGCGGCCUGGACCACCUGAGGGACCCCCGCCUCAACAAGGGCAUGGCCUUCUCCCUGGCCGAGCGUCAGGCCCUCGGCAUCCACGGCCUGCUGCCGCCCCGCUUCAAGACCCAGGAGGAGCAGCUGCAGCUGUGCAAGAUCAACAUCGACCGCUACACCGACCCCCUCAACAAGUACAUCUACCUGAUGGGGCUGCAGGACCGCAACGAGCGGCUGUUCUUCCGCUUCCUCUCCGAGAACGUCAACGAGUUCAUGCCCAUCGUGUACACCCCCACCGUGGGCCUGGCCUGCCAGAAGUUCGGCCUCAUCUACAGACGGCCGCGCGGCCUCUUCAUCACCAUCCACGACAAGGGCCACGUCUACGACGUCAUCAGAAACUGGCCUGAGAGUGACGUUCGCGCCAUCGUGGUGACCGACGGCGAGCGCAUCCUCGGCCUGGGCGACCUCGGCGCGUACGGCAUGGGCAUCCCCGUGGGCAAGCUGGCCCUGUACACGGCGCUGGCCGGCAUCAAGCCCAGCCAGCUGCUGCCCGUCACCCUGGACGUGGGCACCAACACCCAGUCCCUGCUCGACGACCCGCACUACAUCGGCCUGCGCCAGAAGCGCGUCAGCGGCGCCGCGUACGACGAGUUCAUCGACGAGUUCAUGAAGGCCGUCAUCCGGCGCUUCGGCCAGACCACCCUCAUCCAGUUCGAGGACUUCGGCAACCACAACGCCUUCCGCCUGCUGGAGAAGUACCGCGACAGCUAUUGCACCUUCAACGACGACAUCCAGGGCACCGCCUCCGUGGCCGUCGCCGGCAUCCUGGCCUCGCUCCGCGUCACCAACACCCGCCUCUCCGACAACGUGCUGCUCUUCCAGGGCGCCGGCGAGGCGUCGCUCGGCAUCGCCGGCCUCUGCGUCAUGGCCAUGAAGAACGAGGGCACCUCCGAGGCCGAGGCCCUGAAGCGCAUCUGGCUGGUGGACUCCAAGGGCCUGAUCGUCAAGAACCGCCCCGAGGGUGGCGUCACCGGCGAGAAGGUCCGCUUCGCCCAGGACCACGCCCCCGUCAAGACGCUCACCGAGGCCGUGAAGCUCGUCAAGCCCUCCAUCCUGAUCGGAGCCGCGGCCAUCGGCGGCGCCUUCACCCCCGAGAUCCUGCAGACCAUGGCCGCCAACAACAAGCGCCCCAUCGUGUUCGCGCUCAGCAACCCCACCAGCAAGGCGGAGUGCACGGCCGAGGAGGCCUACAACCACACCAAGGGCCAGGUGGUGUUCGCCAGCGGCUCCCCCUUCGACCCCGUCACCUACAACGGCAAGACCUACCACCCCGGCCAGGGCAACAACGCCUACAUCUUCCCCGGCGUCGCCCUCGGCGUCAUCUGCGCCGGCGUCAAGCACAUCUCCGACGAGAUCUUCUUCCUCGCCGCCCAGACCCUGGCCAACCUCGUCUCCCAGAAGGACCUCGACUCCGGCAGCCUGUACCCGCCCCUGGAGGACAUCCAGCACUGCUCCUCCGUGAUCGCCGAGGCCGUCGCCGAGCACGCGUACAAGACCGGGGUGGCCAGCGCGUACCCCAAGCCCACCGACAUGAAGGCCUUCAUCCGCUCCCAGCAGUACGACCCGCACUACUCGUCCUCCCUGCCCGCCAUGUACUCGUGGCCCGACGCCUAGGGGGGCACCGGGGCGGCGCGAGGACGCCGACGGAGGCCGAGGCGGCCGCGACCAGGCAUUGCCAACGUGUACCCGGAGCCUGCGGACAAGAAGACCUUCAUCCACAGCGCCCAGUACAACUACCAGUACGCCUGGUCCUCCGCCCUGCCCGCCGUCUACGACUGGCCCAACGGCGCCGGCGCGCACAUCUCC
rnacentral:misc_RNA from 1 species